rnacentral:rRNA from 1 species
AGUUGCCAUCAUUAAGUUGGGCACUUUAAGGAAACUGCCGGUGAUAAGCCGGAGGAAGGUGGGGAUGACGUCAAGUCCUCAUGGCCCUUACAGGCUGGGCUACACACGUGCUACAAUGGCAUCUACAGUGGGCAGCUAUCCCGCAAGGGUGCGCUAAUCUCCAAAAGAUGUCUCAGUUCGGAUUGUCCUCUGCAACUCGAGGGCAUGAAGGCGGAAUCGCUAGUAAUCGCGAAUCAGCAUGCCGCGGUGAAUACGUUCCCAGGCCUU